AACUUUUAUGAAAAGGAGGGAAUGAUCGGUUUUGGUAGCAGAGUGCACACAAAAAGAAAAGCGACUGCACUGGAUUCUAUAGACUGGGUUGGACCUCCUUCUGAAUGUCUGGUGUGCUUUGUCUUAACAUUUGCUAUACUAGGU